CAAAUUACUACUUUAGGAGAAACCUACCUAGAACUGGUGAAGAGGUUGGAUGAAGCUCUUCAUGGUUUUACCGAAGGUCCUCCAUUUACCCUUCAGAGGCUUUAUGAGAUUCUCAUGGCACAAAGAGCAAAGUAAAUGAAAGCAAGUGCAAAAAGGUCCUACAGAAUUAGUGC